rnacentral:rRNA from 1 species
CAGCCGCCGCGGGAAUACAGAGGAUGCAAGCGUUAUCCGGAAUGAUUGGGCGUAAAGCGUCUGUAGGUGGCUUUUCAAGUCCGCCGUCAAAUCCCAGGGCUCAACCCUGGACAAGCGGUGGAAACUACCAAGAUGGAGUACGGUAGGGGCAGAGGGAAUUUCCGGUGGAGCGGUGAAAUGCGUUGAGAUCGGAAGGAACACCAACGGUGAAAGCACUCUGCUGGGCCGACACUGACACUGAGAGACGAAAGUUAGGGGAGAAAAUGGGAUUAGAUACCCCAGUAGUCCCUGUCUCUUAUAC